rnacentral:rRNA from 1 species
UACGGAGGGUGCGAGCGUUGUCCGGAAUCACUGGGCGUAAAGAGCUCGUAGGUGGUUUGUCGCGUUGUUCGUGAAAUCUCACGGCUUAACUGUGAGCGUGCGGGCGAUACGGGCAGACUGGAGUACUGCAGGGGAGACUGGAAUUCCUGGUGUAGCGGUGGAAUGCGCAGAUAUCAGGAGGAACACCGGUGGCGAAGGCGGGUCUCUGGGCAGUAACUGACGCUGAGGAGCGAAAGCGUGGGGAGCGAACAGG